rnacentral:rRNA from 1 species
UCAGGCCUAACACAUGCAAGUCGAACGCACCGCAAGGUGAGUGGCGCACGGGUGAGUAACACGUGGGAAUGUACCCUUUGGUUCGGAAUAACGUUUGGAAACGAACGCUAAUACCGGAUGAGCCCUACGGGGGAAAGAUUUAUCGCCAAAGGAGCAGCCCGCGUCUGAUUAGCUAGUUGGUGGGGUAAAGGCCUACCAAGGCGACGAUCAGUAGCUGGUCUGAGAGGAUGAUCAGCCACACUGGGACUGAGACACGGCCCAGACUCCUACGGGAGGCAGCAGUGGGGAAUAUUAAGAAUGGGCGGAAGCCUGAUCC